GAUUGUCAAAUAGAAAAAAAAACAUAGUUUAAUUCUAAAAUUGUCUGGUAUGAUAAUCCUAUGUGAUAUUUUAUACCCAACAGUCACCUUCAUAGCCCAUACUGCUCCUACAAAUAUAAAUCAUGUUUCUCACAAAACCCAGGUAUAGAUUUGAAUUAUCAAUAUACCAGUCUCUUUACUACACCUAUCUAUUAAAUCAUUCUGACAGUUUAGACAAGUAAAUUAUGAGCCAAUGCCCGAUAUCGCGUACGCAAAUAUCUUUUAGGUCUGAAAAUUAUUACGAGGUAGUUGGCGAUCUAUCAGUGAGGGUACAAAUUGAUUGUCGUUGACGAGGGUCGGGCCACGCGCCGGCGGCUCACUUAGCCGCGUCUCCUUCCGAAGUAUCCAUCAAUUAUUAGUUAUUGAAAAUUUAUAAGUGUAUUUUGACGAUCGCGGCUAGGAGGUUGUGCGUUGGAUUCUAGAUAAAGAAGAGUCCGUUGCAAGCAGUAGGACGCUGUUUACUUAGCACUUGGAUGUUAAUCUUUAAUUAUUUUUGUAAUUAGUGUAUAAGUUAGGAAAACUAAAUUAUUUAAGUCAAUUAAUUCUGAAGGUCUUCUGUAUUUUUAGGAUACUGUUAAAUUUAAAAUUAAAAUGGAAUUAUCUCUGGAUAUUGAUGAUUAAAUUACCAUAGGAACAUGUUGCUAAUUUUAUAUUUUUAUCACAAUAUAAGUACUAUGCAAAUUUCGCACUGAAAGUACAUUUUCUAUGAUACACUACACUUAAUCGUGCAGUACCACGAAACAUAACCCGCAGUAAAAUUUGAUUUGAUUCGCCGGCAACUAAUAAAAUUCAAUGUGACACGCCAUAACAGUAAAUCCUUAAUGGCAGUAAUAUAGCGGAGUACGUAUGCUUUGCGACGCACGAAUGUGGCUCGCGUGUGGCUUGGCAUUUCAAUACAAUAGUUUAUCCCAAUACAUUUCUGCAGUGUUUAUCACGGCACGUGGCGUGUGUUGCGUUGUUGUCAUCUGAACGCUGAGACAAAAUGUUAGACUAUAAUAUAAUGCUUUAAUUACCUAAGUAUGCAAAAAGAGGUCAGAGACAAAGUUUAUAAUAUACAGGAAUAUGUUUUCACUAAGAAAAUGUUUUUAUUUAGCCCAAAGCAAUUCUUUUGGCCUACAAAGUUUUAUAACUUUUAAAAACUCUUACUCUAUGCUAUUUAAACAAGUUUCUUUUAGGAAAUUUACAAUAAUAAAAUAUAUUUUAAAUCAAAUUUAUAGCAUGCUGUUUGAGGAUCAAUGUUCACUUGACAAAAAAAGACGAACUCUUGAAAUUUCUAUUUACGUGGCGUGGCGCGGCAUGUGACGUGACGUGGCGUGUGUGUAGUAAUCUCACGCCACUAACUGGCUCACGUUAUGACACAACUUGCUUUGACAAAAUUUUAUUGCAUAUUUUAUGAGUCUUUGAAUCGAGUUUCAGUAACGUUCUUGGAUAUAUUGCUGCAGUUUCUCACAAAUUUUAUAACUAUGAAGUGCAUUUCGACUUUUGAAUAUGUCGUUAAACUAAAUUGGAAUGUGUAUCGAGUAACUUUGACUACCAUUGAUCGUGUAUUACACAAAGGCUAAAGUUUCGUGUAGACAAAGAUAAGUUAAGUUACUUAUCCGUCAUAAUGAGCACCUUGCGGUGGUCAUUACGAGCCGUUAUGCCGAUCUCCCGACUGAUACCAACUUUAUAGCCACACCUGUUUAACAAUUCUAAUUUAUUGUUUUGAUCCAAAUGGCUGAAAAAGGAAUGUUGGAAAACUUGCUUUACGUUUACAUUCCAUCGGCAUCAUUAAUUCCAACGCACUGUACUGGAGAACAGUGAGUGUACAAACUCGCGCACACUCCAAACGUCUAAACUUCAAUUUAAAUUGAAAAUUACUCAACUUGAAGUGUAAUUAGUCAUUUACGUACACAAAGAGAAUUCGUACGAUUAUAAAGUUAUAGUGUUUCUUUCUCUUAGAAUAGGGACAGUACUACAUGUAUAUUGAAAACUUUUUAUAAAACUAAGUUGAGUGGGUAUGUUAGGUAAUCAAUGACUUGUUAGGCGAGCGCCAAAUUUGUCCCACCAUAACCCCACCUAGGAUUUUAAAUACUGCGUUGUAUAACGCUAUCCUCAUCACUGGAAAGUCGUAGAUUUUACCUCAUAUGAUUCUUAUACUGACCGCAUAAAUAUCAUACAAAUAAACAUCGAUCUAAGUUUCACUGACUAAUUAUCAAACUUCUACACAUAUAUUAGCAGAAUUCCUGAAGUUUCUAGAAAUAGGAUAAUUGAAGAAACAGCCGUAUAUUGGCCGGCAAGUGUUGGCUGGUGCAGCGCCGAGGGCGGUCACGGGCUGAUAACGGAACGAACAGGCCCACAUCACGUCCCGCACUAAUUUACACUGAACUUACUGCUCAAUUAGGAAAGAUAAAUAUAAUUCUAAAAUGUCUAUAGAAAACAAUCAAGAUAGAUUCAUACUUUUAGUGUUGUCUGCUAAUUGCUGAUGAUAAAAAUAAUAAGGACGGCCAAUACCGUUUAAUACAGUGUAAAUAAAUAAUGAGAUU